ACCAGCUCGGUUAGUAGAGCAUGAGAUUCUUAAUCUCAGGGCUGUGGGUUCGAGCCCCACAUUGGGCA